rnacentral:lncRNA from 1 species
GUAGGACACUCUAAGAAGACAAAGCUGGGCCUUUUUGGCCGAGAUCCAAUACCUGAGCACCUGAAGGAGGUUUCUGGACCGGCAAAAAUGGAGUAUUCCAGGUGGAUUGACAUGGUGUGAGUAUGCCAGCUUGUAGCAGUCACUGAAUAUGGAGAUUUAUCCCCUCUCUAGCCUGCUGACUCAUAGGAUACUGUUUUAUCUGGACUGGCAGGGCAGUGGCCAGAAGUUCUACAACUACUGGCAGAUGAUGCUUUGCUUAUCCCAGGGGGUUUGACUCAGCCCAGACUCGAGGAAACAGUCUGUAGGUCUAAUAGGAGGAGAGAAUUUGUUUUAUUCUCCAAUGGUUGUGAUGGUGAAACCAAAAGAUAUUCCUCUGACAGAGGGGUAGUUAGCAGGAGUUGGGCAGUAGGGGGCGUUGUGUCCCCUAACGUGAAGUGAGCCUGCUGGGCUGAGAGAUAGAAGCCUGUAACUUAUGGAGCAGGUCUCAUCUGAGAAGGGGAAGGGGGCACUCUGGGACUACAAGAAAUGAGUGAGUUACUCUUUUCUUUCCUAAACUCACUUAUCAUGAGUGGGUGACAGGAUAUUCCUGAAUAGCUCCUGUUGCCCCUUGUACAGCUACUCUUUUAUUAGAGACACUGCCUAAGGGUGUCUGCAGUACUGAGUGUUCCACCUCAGUAUCUAUUAGGAAGUAUACAUGCUGGCCCCCCACUGUAGCGGUCACCAUGGGCUCCUGGGGGCCAAGUGAAAGGGAGCCCCAGUCCCAUCAGUCAUCAGACUCCUCCGCUGUGGGGAGGGUGAGGACCUUUUUCUUUUCUGGUUUUUGCUCUGGCUUUAAUGGGCAUUCCUUCUUCCAGUGUCCUAUCUGCUUGCAAUAAGCACAUUGGUUUUUCUCCAGGGGAGCCCGCUCACCUUUCUUGCCCUUUUGGCUGGGACCCGGGGUUCCCUGGCUAUUCCUCUGUGAUGGGGGCCCUUACUUUUUGGCUUCCUGGAUGGCCACCACUAAGAUUUUUGCUUGUCUUUUGGAUGCUUUAUCAGCAGCUUUUUCAGCUGCCUCAGCUGCCUGUUUUCGUUUUUCAGACUCUCGAUUGUCAAAAACUUUCUGGGCUACUUCUAAAAGCUGGCUAUUGUUCAUUCCAGCAAAUCCCUCCGGCUUUUGUAAUUUUCUUUUACUAUCAGUAGCUGCCUGAGCCACAAACACCAAAUUAAUAGCACGGCUAUUCUUGGGAGCUGCCGGGUCAAAAGGGGUGUAAGUUUGAUAGGCCUCCUGGAGACUUUCUAAAAGUGUUCCAGGUUCAUCAGGCCCCUGGACAACUUCAGUUGUCUCAGACAGAUUUAUGGGUUUUUGAGCGGCUCCCUUGAGGCCCACAAGGAGAUACCGGUGAAAAUCAUCUAAAGCCCUCCUCCCACCCGAGGAGUUAGGAUCCCAAUUAGGCCGGGUAGAGGGAAAAACCUCCUUAACGAGGUUUUGGGCUUCCCCCUCUGGUCUAUCAGCUGAUGUAAGGAAAUACUUUCUGGCUUCUCUUCGGAUACAAUUCCUCUCUUCAGAGAUGAAGAGGGUUAAAAGGCGUUGCUGACAAUCAUCCCAGGUGGGCCGGUGAGUCUGGAGCAUGGACUCCAUCAGUGAGGUCAGAACCUGGGGUUUUUCAAAGAAGGGGGGAUUAUGAGCCUUCCAGUUGUACAGGUCAGAAGUAGAGAAAGGGACGUAAACUAAGAAUGGAGCUGAGCGCUCAUCACCCGGAGGGAUUUGUGCCUCUCUCAGUGGGAGGAGGGGGGCUACCUCCUCCUGCCAUGGCCACAAUCAGGAGGCAAUAGAUGGGGACGCCACAGGAGAUGUAGUUGAGGAGGCAAGGGGAGAUUCUGGGGGAGCAGGAGGGUUAUAAGGUGGCAGAACUGUGUGAGGAAAACUUUCCUCUUCUUCAGAGGGAGGCAAUACAGGAGGAGCCAAGGGAGCUGAGGAUCCGGACAAAAGUGUGUGGUCUCGCUUAAAAUGACCUUGGAGGUAAGAUUAUGAAUGGCACAUGAGCGGAGCCAAGGGGGAGGGCUCCGGACCAAUCUCAGCCAUUGAUCAAUGUAGGGAAACGGAUCGGGGUGACCGGGAGUUCCAGCAACGACCCGCCACACAGCCUGAAGAGCUGUGAGAUUCAGUGACCCUUCUGGGGGCCACACGGUUCCAAACUGUGGUCAUUCUACUUCACAGAGUAUCUGGAGUUUGCCUUUUUUAAGGUGGACCCCAUAAUUCUCUGAGAAGCCUAGGGAGAAAUUUUGUAACAUACAUUGGAGAGGGCUCCAAUCUUUAUGAGGCUGGGAAGAAGAGUUUCCCAUUCUGGAGGCAAUUUAAAAAGGUUUCAGCAGAAAUAUUAAACCCAGCACAGACAGAGAAAUUCAAGACCUGGGGGGCUGCAGUAUCAGAAGAACAGAAGUAUUAUAACCAGAAGAAGAAGGAAAACAACCAUAGUCAACACUUCUUGCCACAUAAGGACGGUCUGUUUAAGCUUUGAGAUCUAGGGGGAGGACAAGAGGCAGGUCUGAGGCCAGUGGGACCUACGUGAUCCCCUCCUUUUUGUCCUAUAGCCUAAAUAUCUUUGGUGUCUCCAUGACUUGAAGGCAAAAAGUUCAAACUUGGCCUUUUCUUUUAAGGGUUGAAAAAGGGAGGACAGAACCAAGUCUUGGAGACACUGGAUUUGCUGCAACACAGGAAAAUGAGAUGUGCAGGGUAAAGGAUGGGAAUGAGGAGGAAAAGGGGCCACUUGGAUUUUUCCAGGCUAGGAGGAGCCAUGCCGGGCAGCUCUGGGUCACCAGGGCCACUCUGCGGUCCCCCGCCCUGCCUCCAGGCCCUGUCAGACGCUGCAAGCCCAGCUCAGAAGCCUGGCCUGGGACCAAGUUCACUGCAGCAGGCUGGGCCCUUGCAUUCUGAGCUGGGUGCGGAUGCGCUGGUGCUCUGGGAAGUCAGGGGCUUUGACAACUGAA